CCUACGGGAGGCAGCAGUGGGGAAUAUUGCACAAUGGGGGGAACCCUGAUGCAGCGACGCCGCGUGGGUGAAGGAGUAUUUCGGUAUGUAAAGCUCUAUCAGCAGGGAAGAACAAUGACGGUACCUGACUAAGAAGCACCGGCUAAAUACGUGCCAGCAGCCGCGGUAAUACGGAUGGUGCAAGCGUUAUCCGGAUUGACUGGGUGUAAAGGGAGCGCAGGCGGGGCGUUAAGCCUGGUGUGAAAGUCCGCGGCCCAACCGCGGGACUGCAGUGGGAACUGGCGCGCUGGAGUGCCGGAGGGGUAGGCGGAAUGCCUAGUGUAGCGGUGAAAUGCGUAGAUAUUAGGAGGAACACCAGUGGCGAAGGCGGCCUACUGGACGGUGACUGACGCUGAGGCUCGAAAGCGUGGGGAGCAAACAGGAUUAGAUACCCCUGUAGUC
rnacentral:rRNA from 1 species